CCUUGUUGAUUUCCCAUUCUCAGCCCAUCGAAAAAAAGAAACUGCCAUGCCCACAAAAUUUUCUUUUCUCCCAUUCCUCGCCCAUUUUUUUUUCUUCUGUUUGGCUAAAAUGAUAAAAUCUAAUCUCCUCCUUUGUUAUUAUGUUUUCGGGAUCUAAUCGAGCCCUAAAUUAGAUGGGCGCGAGCUCUGAAGAUCGACCUUAACACCUCCAUUGCCACCUCCCCUCUGGGUCCGUCCCUGAGCAGUCAUCUCGAGGGAAAUUGAAGAGGUUAAUCAUAAGCAAGAGCUAAGCAUAGACGAAAGUAAUAAUUCAUGAUCCACUAUACAUUAGGGUUUUCAAGAAUGAUUUAGCUGCGGCGCGGUGAGUUGUGGCUGCUGUGGAUUAGAGACGGCGAAGGUGGAGGUUCCUCGACGUCCAUUUUUUCACCUGCCAUCAUCAAAACCACAUGAAUAUCGAUAACGUAAACCAGUAAAAUCAUCAAAUAACAAAAAAUAACAGUUUGCGUUAUUGUUGUUCUCUGAUUAGGUUUCACCGUUUACGUCCUUUAGUGUUUUUAUGAUACAUGGUUUCCUGCUCAAAUUACCUUUUAUACACAAAAAGGGUUAUGGUUUUUUUUAGACUCUUUUUCUUGAAAAGUUUUAGUCAAAAAAAAUUAGACCCUAGUUUUUUGCCUACCUUGCCACCCCUAAAGACUGGCCUUUGGGUUUAGCUCAGUAGCUAGUGCUUAGGGUUUAGUAUCCCUCUUUUAGACCAUGUUUAUCUGGUUGUUGUGUUAUAGUCGGUAUGUUUUUUUUAUCUUUGAUUUGGGUUCCCCUCGGUAAUGGUUUUUAGGAUUUAGUAUACCAUCUUAUAUUUUGUGUUUGUUGUUGUGUUUUUAUUAGCUUAUUUUGUAACCUGAUUAUCAAACUUUCCAAACCACAUACUUUUUAAAUGGAUUUAAUAAACAAAGGUUGGUCUUGUGUCAAAGGAAAUUUAU